rnacentral:sRNA from 1 species
ACGUAGGUAGUAGAUAUAUGGAGUAGCUCGAGGUACGUGGUACUAGUAGUAGUAGAAGUAGUAGUAGUUGUUGUUCUUGUAGUUGUAGUUGUAGUUGUAGCAGUUGUGGUAUGUAUGUGUGAUACGAAAUUCUUUAGAAUGAAGUGAGAAAAGGAGAAAAAAAAAAGAAAAAGAAAAAGAAAUGAAAGCAAGAAAGGAUUUUGUGACCAUAAAGAACGGACGGAAAAACAGGAGGAGGAGCUGAAUAGUUCGAGGGGGAAGAAAGGAUUUGAAAAUGAGGAUAACAUAAACUUUAGAUUAAAAAAUGAGAAGAAAAAAAAAACAGUUUUACACACGAUCACAUCACAUUUAAAAAAAAAAAAAAAAAAAAGGAAGAAAACAGAUAGAAAACAGCCCAAACCCAACC